AUUGAACGCUGGCGGCAUGCCUUACACAUGCAAGUCGAACGGUAACGGGCCUUCGGGUGCCGACGAGUGGCGAACGGGUAAGUAACAUAUCGGAACGUACCUUUCAGUGGGGAAUAACGUAGCGAAAGUUACGCUAAUACCGCAUAUUCUGUGCGCAGGAAAGCAGGGGACCUUCGGGCCUUGCGCUGAUUGAGCGGCCGAUAUCAGAUUAGCUAGUUGGUGAGGUAAAGGCUCACCAAGGCGACGAUCUGUAGCGGGUCUGAGAGGAUGAUCCGCCACACUGGAACUGAGACACGGUCCAGACUCCUACGGGAGGCAGCAGUGGGGAAUUUUGGACAAUGGGGGCAACCCUGAUCCAGCCAUGCCGCGUGAGUGAAGAAGGCCUUCGGGUUGUAAAGCUCUUUCGGCCGGGAAGAAAUCGUAUGGGCUAAUACCCUGUGCGGAUGACGGUACCGGCAUAAGAAGCACCGGCUAACUACGUGCCAGCAGCCGCCGUAAAAC
rnacentral:rRNA from 1 species